UCUUAUAAAUAAGUUGUAAUCUCAAUUGAAAUAAAAUAAGCUUUGAAUGAUUAUUUUUGGAACCUUGAGAGUGAUUCUCACUUUUCUUUCAAUGGUGUGUAAUAUCCAUUGAUCUUUUCGAUCCGUCUUGGUGCGUCAUAUCCAAGGGAUCAAAUUGAUUCGUCCUGGUGCGUCAUAUCCAGGGAAUCAUCCUCAUUGUCGUCUAGGUGCGUCAUAUCCUAGGGUAUUGAGUUGGAAUAUCGAAGGCCUUCCGCAUCCUUCGUGCGACCAUUCACUCCACAUCCCUUGUCUUUGAAGCUUUACGGUUUCAUAGAAGCAAGGCUUAUCCCCUUUACCGACUUAGAGUGCCGACUCCUCGGGAGGUUUUCAUCCUUUGGUAUCAGAGCAACACUCUGAGUUUGGUAUUCACUUCUGUUAUCCACCAUUCUCAUCUAUUCAUCUUCUACAAAAAAAAAAAAAAAAAAAAGAGUUUUAUUAUUUAUAAUUUUCAAAUCUGCUGGAUCAUUUGGGAAGUGUGUGUUCAAGUUUUUCUUUUUCGGAAAGCAAGAUUUGAGGACAAAUCUUUUUGAAGAGGAGGAGUAUGAUGUGAUAUUGGGCUCAUAUGUGAAGCUAUGGGCAUGAAAAACAUUCAGAAAUUGACCCAAGAUGUUAGCUAAUAUGUCCAGCCCAUUUUUAUCAAGUUACAAGCCCAAGAAGAUUCAAAAUCAAAUGGUUUCUUUGCUGUCCAAAGAGAGUGACGAAAAUUAGGUGGUUAAUUGCAUGGAAAGCUUCUCUCUCUUACAUGCAAGGAAUGCUUGUUUCAAGAAAACUCUCUCUCCUCCAUGCAUUAGUUUUAUCAUUUCCAAUGUAAUAAAUAUCUAGCUUUGUGAGCAAGUUUAGUCUCUUAUAAAUAAGUUGUAAUCUCAAUUGAAAUAAAAUAAGCUUUGAGUGAUUAUUUUUGGAACCUUGAGAGUGAUUCUCACUUUUCUUUCAAUGGUGUGUAAUAUCCAUUGAGCUUUUUCGAUCCGUCUUGGUGCGUCAUAUCCAAGGAUCAAACCGAUUCGUCCUGGUGCGUCAUAUCCAGGGAAUCAUCCUCAUUGUCGUCUAGGUGCGUCAUAUCCUAGGGCAUUGAGUUGGAAUAUCGAAGGCCUUCCGCAUCCUUCGUGCGACCAUUCACUCCACAUCCCUUGUCUUUGAAGCUUUACGGUUUCAUAGCAGCAAGGCUUAUCCCCUUUACCGAC
rnacentral:lncRNA from 1 species